rnacentral:rRNA from 1 species
UACGUAGGGUGCAAGCGUUAAUCGGAAUUACUGGGCGUAAAGCGUGCGCAGGCGGUUAUGCAAGACAGAUGUGAAAUCCCCGGGCUCAACCUGGGAACUGCAUUUGUGACUGCAUGGCUAGAGUACGGUAGAGGGGGAUGGGAUUCCGCGUGUAGCAGUGAAAUGCGUAGAUAUGCGGAGGAACACCGAUGGCGAAGGCAAUCCCCUGGACCUGUACUGACGCUCAUGCACGAAAGCGUGGGGAGCAAACAGG